GGUUACCUACGGGACGCAGCAGUAGGGAAUAUUGCUCAAUGGGGGAAACCCUGAAGCAGCAACGCCGCGUGGAGGAUGAAGGUUUUCGGAUUGUAAACUCCUUUUGUUAGAGAGGAUAAUGACGGUAUCUAACGAAUAAGCACCGGCUAACUCCGUGCCAGCAGCCGCGGUAAUACGGAGGGUGCAAGCGCUACUCGGAAUCACUGGGCGUAAAGAGCGCGUAGGCGGGAUAGCAAGUCAGAUGUGAAAUCCUAUGGCUUAACCAUAGAACUGCAUUUGAAACUGUUAUUCUAGGGUAUGGGAGG
rnacentral:rRNA from 1 species